GUGACAGCAGCCGCGGUAAUACGGAGGGUGCGAGCGUUAAUCGGAAUUACUGGGCGUAAAGCGCGCGUAGGUGGUUUUGUAAGUCGGGUGUGAAAUCCCUGGGCUCAACCUGGGAACUGCAUUCGAGACUGCAAGACUGGAGUAUGGGAGAGGGCAGCGGAAUUUCCGGUGUAGCGGUGAAAUGCGUAGAUAUCGGAAGGAACAUCAGUGGCGAAAGCGGCUGCCUGGCCCAAUACUGACACUCAUGUGCGAAAGCGUGGGGAGCAAACAGGAUUAGAUACCCUGGUAGUCC
rnacentral:rRNA from 1 species